rnacentral:tRNA from 2 species
AGCUGGGUGGUGGAAUUGAUAGACACGCAGGACUUUGACUCCUGUGCUGUAAAGCGUGAGAGUUUGAACCUCUCCCCAGCUG